rnacentral:rRNA from 1 species
GACGAACGCUGGCGGCGUGCUUAACACAUGCAAGUCGAACGGAAAGGCCCUGCUUUUGUGGGGUGCUCGAGUGGCGAACGGGUGAGUAACACGUGAGUAACCUGCCCUUGACUUUGGGAUAACUUCAGGAAACUGGGGCUAAUACCGGAUAGGAGCACCUGCUGCAUGGUGGGGGUUGGAAAGUUUCGGCGGUUGGGGAUGGACGCGCGGCUUAUCAGCUUGUUGGUGGGGUAGUGGCUUACCAAGGCUUUGACGGGUAGCCGGCCUGAGAGGGUGACCGGCCACAUUGGGCCUGAGAUACGGCCCAGACUCCUCCGGGAGGCAGCAGUGGGGAAUAUUGCGCAAUGGGCGGAAGCCUGCUGCAGCAACGCCGCGUGCGGGAUGACGGCCUUCGGGUUGUAACCCGCUUUCGCCUGUGACGAAGCGUGAGUGACGGUAAUGGGUAAAGAAGCACCGGCUAACUACGUG